UUAAUGUCCUGGAACUGACUGAUUGGCAUGAACCAUCAGCAGGAGUUAAAUUUGGAUGGGUAUUAGAAUCUUUGUUUGCACCAAUCUCAACAUACCGUAACAGAGAGAUGUUGUUUAAAUUAAUGGGACAAACUGAAAGGUUAGCAGCGGUCACUAA